CCCCGGGAUAAUUUUCUUUUUUUUAAUCCAUUUAGGAGUUGGAGGAGUUGGAGCAUUUUAAAGCUCCAGCAUCUUUCUGUCUAGUCCAAGGUGAAGGCCGGGGUGCGGAUCAAUUUGUUCCCAGCCCUCCAGCGCAGACAGCAAGCUUCUCGCCUGGGGUGGCGGGGAAGGCACAAAGUAACAAGGACCGCCUUUGGGCAGAACCCUCUGAGGACCACAGCUGACAACACUAUUGGAGCAAAUUGGCUUCCAAGGGCUCCUCUCCUUUAAAUCCUCUUCCUCCCCAAAGAGGAAGAUUGGUCUCCUCCCUGCCUCUCUGGAAACGGACUGAGCACUGCAGGCCGGGCAUUCCGUGAACAAAGAGUCAACAGCAGAGACUUGUCCUCGAACCAACAGGCAUACCCAGGAAGAGCCUGUGAGAUGGGAAGACAUAGAGGUUGGAACAUGGGGGACACUGGGCCCAAAGAAAAUGGAGAGAUGGAUCCAAAAUUGAGGCUUUGUUGACUGGCUGUGCCAUUACGUCAAAGGAGGAAAGAGAUUGUAUCUGAUGAUGACAAUAUCCUGAAAACCAAGAGGGCUGAAGGCCAUUAGCUGGGAGACCAAAGGCCAGAUGCCUUGAUAAACACACAAGAAAGAAAUGUUCUUCACAGCUCCAGAUUAAGUCCCUUUUAAGAUGAUACUGUAGAACCCAUAUUUUAUUCGGUGUUACACACAUCAUAAAAGACUUGUGGUCUCCAGAAGUUCAUAUUCCAAGGUGACAAGCCCCUCAGUCAAUGCAUAAAUAUGAUGUUAAACAAUGGGAGGAUGAAUAAAAGCACUUAUAUCUUCCAGACACCCUGUCCAUGAAGUGCUCCAAUUACCAAUAUACCCAGCUGAUUUUCAGAGAAACAAAGAACUUUACCAGAUACUCACCAGGAGCUUUUAACACAGAUAAUAGAAGCUUGAAAUUGGAUGUAGCAUCCAGUGAGGAGUAAGAUUUCAACUUCUUUCAAUGUCAGGUGCAGCUGGGGAUAGGCAAAGAAAUGUUUUGUUUGGUUUUGCAGACUUUUUUCAUUCAGUACUUAGCCUGAAACCUUAAAGAGCAGUAUCAGAAAUCCCAGAUCAGCAGUAGCCAGCCAGGAAAUUGAUUUUACUUUAAGGGUAUUCAUAAUAACAGAACCAAUCUGUAUGUUCAUUAAAUCCACCUGAAAUGAUAAGAAGUCUCACAGAAGUCUUUCAAAGUGGAGGUUUUGCAAAAAAGGCUUUCAACCCUGCACAUUUUCUAACCAGGGAGUAACUAGGCAAUUUCUCCUCUCCCUGCUCUGGAGGAAAGAUCGACAGGCACCUGGGUAAUGUAGACGUUAGAAGUGAAGGAUUCCAUGCGCCAAAUCUUGCAUGUGAAGUAAUUUUUAGAGAUUUUAUGGAGCUAGGGAAACAAUUUUGCCCUUUCCAUUUUUCCCCUACUGAGUUUUCCAUAUCUCCAAGACAGAUGGAGCACAUGUAACAAAACCAACCAAAUGCAGAGAAUGCAAUCUGGGAUAUUAAAAAUAAAAUCUUUUCCAAAUCUUCACAGGCUCCUUUAAAAACACUUCUACCCAAGUGCUAAAGCAGCUAACAGAGGUGUCUAAAAAUGGAAAGAAGAGGUGCCCCAAGGGUUCUUUUUUUCAAAACCAGUCAGCAUUAAUAUUUACUUCUCAGAAAGGGUUCUAUACACAAUCAGCAAAUAUGACCAAAUUUAGUCAUAUGUGGAUUGAAGAUGAUUAUAUCCCAGAGAGCUCUCCAUUAAGAAUCUUUAAAUAUAAAAAUGUUGAAUCUAAUCCAGAAAUAAGGCGAACGGGCAAAUGCAAUCAACACCGGGGGAAAAUGUUAGUAUUUCAAUGGCUUCAAAUAAACACUCAGUACCAUUAUAUUACUCAGAGAAACCAGUAAAGAGAAUAUGGUGAGGUAGAUUUUGACAUUGUAUUGUUUGGCCUUUUACUAACUAUAAACUCUUUAUUAUGGACAUGCUGUAGCUUAUAUUUUACAUUUUCAUAGCAUUUAAAUUUUAUAUUUCUGUAAUAUUUAAAUGUAGGAACCUAUCAAUCAUGGCUCCUGGGUUUUUAAUUUUCUAUGUAAAACUAAUUUAUUCUGAACCGCAUGUAAUUUCAGAUUUUCUAAGAGUAGAUUAACCUCACAAAAUUGUGUUCAAAUAUCACUAUUCCUUUGCCA